CAGCCGCCACGGGAAUACGAAGGGGGCUAGCGUUGCUCGGAAUCACUGGGCGUAAAGGGUGCGUAGGCGGGUCUUUAAGUCAGAGGUGAAAUCCUGGAGCUCAACUCCAGAACUGCCUUUGAUACUGAGGAUCUUGAGUUCGGGAGAGGUGAGUGGAACUGCGAGUGUAGAGGUGAAAUUCGUAGAUAUUCGCAAGAACACCAGUGGCGAAGGCGGCUCACUGGCCCGAUACUGACGCUGAGGCACGAAAGCGUGGGGAGCAAACAGGAUUAGAUACCCGCGUAGUCCCUGUCUCUUAUAC
rnacentral:rRNA from 1 species